rnacentral:lncRNA from 1 species
UAGGGAACUAAUUGUUUUUCCCGAAGAGCUAUAAGGAACAUGAGGUGCAGGGACAUGAGAUGCAGGAACAUGAGGUGCGGGUGGUGCCACGAAUUGAGAUGCAGGAGUUGUAGCUUGGGUUUCCAACAAGCCAUCAAGAGGCAGACUCCGGAACGAACACUUUGGAUUCAAGCAAAUACCAUUCAACCAGGACCUGUAAUCUUUAGGGUUCAUCCGGGCAUGUUGCAUAUUCUUCCCAGUAAGCCCAACGUUUAAAGCCCCUCUUGAAAAAUCUUAAGUCUCCUGCUACAUAACUUGAUGUAUAUAAUAAAAUCC